rnacentral:rRNA from 1 species
GAGUCUAGCAUGUGCGCGAGUCAUUGGGACUCUAACGAAACCUAAAGGCGCAAUGAAAGUGAAGGUUCGCCUCGCGCGAACCGAGGGAGGAUGGACGGUCAUUAUUGACCGCCCCGCACUCCCUGGGCGUCUCGCUCUCAUCGCGAGAAGAGGCGCACCAAGAGCGUACACGCUGGGACCCGAAAGAUGGUGAACUAUGCCUGGUCAGGACGAAGUCAGGGGAAACCCUGAUGGAGGUCCGUAGCGAUUCUGACGUGCAAAUCGAUCGUCGGAACUGGGUAUAGGGGCGAAAGACUAAUCGAACCAUCUAGUAGCUGGUUCCCUCCGAAGUUUCCCUCAGGAUAGCUGGCGCUCGCUUCUCGCGAGUCUCAUUCGGUAAAGCGAAUGAUUAGAGGCAUUGGGGUCGAAACGGCCUCAACCUAUUCUCAAACUUUAAAUGGGUGAGAUCUCCGGCUUGCUUGAACUAUGAAGCCGCGAGAUAUCGGAUCAGAGUGCCAAGUGGGCCACUUUUGGUAAGCAGAACUGGCGCUGUGGGAUGAACCAAACGCUGAGUUAAAGCGCCUAAAUCGACGCUUAUGGGAUACCAUGAAAGGCGUUGGUAACUUAAGACAGCAGGACGGUGGCCAUGGAAGUCGGA